CUUCAUCAUCGCUGGCAGCAACCUACUCUCUUAUUUCUUUAUUGGGUAAUGGCUACGCGUGUUGAGCACUACUCAAGCAGCCUUUGAAAGCUUCAACUUUGUCUCUUUUUGACCUAAUCAACUAUCCUGCUCAACUGAAACAAUUACUCCUAGAUCAACAAUCAUAGCGCAGCCUUAGGAUUGCUUCUAACUUGCAUUCGAAGUUUGAGAAAAACUUGUGCAUUACAGAUCGUUAACCAAUAACGGAGACUCAGUUCAAAUUCAUAUAGACGUUUAGUUGUUACUUUCUUGGAUCUCAGGUUCAUCAUGCAUCCUAUACUAAUAACUCAUGCGAGGAACCAAAAGUAUCUGUAUCAAGAUCGUAUAUGCAAGGCUCCAUACCUACCAGCUUGCUUACACUUUCCAAUUGGUUGGCACACCAAGAUGUUUGAUCCGCCAUUGCAGGAGGGUGGGAAGGAAAAGGGGGAAGCGUAAAUCAACCGCCACAAUGGCUAUUGGCGAGGUGCUGGAGCAGCAGUGGUGUUGGUCACUGAUGGACUUGCCACAUAAGCAGCAGCUGUCUCUGCAGAUGAGGAUGACCCUUGUUGGGCUGAUAAAGGAUUGGCACGAGUUGAUUUGUUUCUCGACUUCUUCUUUUUUGAUGCCAGUUUCUUGUUGGCCAUUAAUCUGAGGUAAAGGGGCUGGGAGAGGAUCUUAACAGAGAAGGUUUGAAGAAGAUGCCUCUUCGUGUUGCCAAGGGGAAGGAACAAGGGUAAGAUGGAGCAUUUUUUGAUUUUUGUUUUCACUGCUAGAUGGAAUAGUUUGCAUGUUAAAUAUGUAAUUUUAUUUGUAAUUUUAUUUGAUAUAUGUGUAUUUGUUUUGUUAUUGGGUUGUAACUUUAAAUUUUAUGUUUGCUAGAUUUUGUUUGGGAUGAUUGGAUGGGAAUUGGGCUAAUUGUGAAUUUGUAAGCCCAAAAGUUUUAAAAAAUUUCACUUGGGCUUAAA